rnacentral:sRNA from 1 species
UUUAGGUGGUUGACAAAAUUUCACGGUUAUCCCUAGACAAUAAGUUCAACAACAAAUUAAUUCACUCCCGUGAUAGAAAUCCUCAAGCAAAGCUAGACACUGAUCUAAUUCCCAUUAGCGAUCUCUAACUAAGUAGGUAUUAUCGAAUCAACAUGUUAAAGCCAAUACCCUAUCUACAACCAAUCCCUUGGGGUAGAGUCAGAUAUCUCUGGAAUUAAUAGGAUCCAACGCCCAUUAAACGCCAGAAGGGAUUCUAGUAUUCUAAACUCAACCACCUAAAACGACCAAGUAAACCACAACUAAUCUAUUCCAUCCUCAGAAAUACAGUUCACUACUCAGACAUAAUCAAAGACAAUAGCAAAACAACGAUUGAAAACAUUAUAACAGAAAUGAUGAAAGACUUAGACGAAAACUGAAUAUCAAAUACUUGAAAGUGAAAAUACAAAGUCGCAGGAAAACACUGCGGCUAUGAAAGUUGCAAAAAAGACAAGAUAAUAACGGAUGCCUUCGGGAAAACCCUAAGAGGCAGUUUAUGUAAGCGAGAAAUGAAACAAAUAAGGAAACUAGAUAUAUAGCGAAUCUUCACGUCAUGACCCUGCGACCGAAUGUGUCAUUGGCAUCUGAUGGGCUGAAAUGAGCUUCCAUGUGAUCGAGUAUGUCAUUGAUCAAACUGGGCUUCAGGGGCUUCGCCUUGCGAUCGAGUGAGAUGCAGUGAAGUCGAGAUUGAAUGGUCCAACGACCCUGUGAUCGAGUGCGAUCGAGUGAAUGUCAUGAGGUGGUGAUCGAGUGGUUCUGAUGGGGUGAUUCCUCCGGCUUCGCGAUUGAGUGAAACUGAGCUGCUAGCUUCUCCGGGGUUGCGAUAGAGUGAUUUGCCCUGGCACGGCUCCGAGGCUGCGAUAGAGUACUUUUGCCGAAGGUGUCAUUGGGCUUUCUGACUUUCUGUUAUGUUUCUCCUCUGUUUGAACUCAAAACGCAUCCAAAGUACCUGAAAACAACCAAAUAUGCAAUGCACAUGCAAUCCUAAUGCAAAAUCGUCCUUAGUAUGCAGAACACACUAAAACUACUCCUAAUGAG